UAGAAUUCCAGAAAAAUACAAAAGGCCAAAAGUUCUACUGCUCGAUUGAGUUUCAGUGAUCUUUCUUCUGAAAACAACAGUCCUUAUUUUGAUAUUUAAAUGGAUUGAUGUUUGGUUAUUAAGUUUUUUUAUUCAACUUGGUUGAGGGUUAAUCUUUCACUGGUUUUACUGAGUUGAUUUCCUGGGUUUUUAAUCAUUGGAACUGGUGUUGCUGGUUUGCUGGCUACUGUCCUAUUACUAGUUCCUCACUUUUUGUGUUGCUUUCGAUUUCCAGGUACAUGCCUUGAAACCUGCAUGAUGUGAUCUUCAAGUUGAGUUGAAAUGAAAAAUGGAAGUUAGAAGUUUGAUACUCCUGUCGUGUAUGCUGUAUAUAAGCUUGAUAUUCAAAUCUUCUUCUCUAUCCUAG
rnacentral:lncRNA from 1 species